GUGUUGUGUACCCAACUGUCGAGGGAACUAUGACAAUGGUCCGAAAGUCCGCUUGUUUUCUUUUCCGAGAGACGCUAAGCGAAGAGCGGAAUGGCAGCGGGCUGUGCGACGGAGCGACGUCGACGUGAGGCUGUUGAAGGACCCCAAGGUUUGCGAGCGUCACUUCAAGUCGGAACACCUGCGCACAACGUCAACGUAUACGGACUGCGAUGGACGAACCAUUGAAGCUCCUAUGAAGUUGACACGGCUGACUCCAGACGCCUUCCCAGCCAUUUUUCCAGACUGCCCUUCGUAUAUCUCGGAUUCGCGCACGUCGCGAGAAGAGCCUGAACUGAAAAGGAAGCGGACUGAAAAUGAGCUACUCCAGAAAGCCAUACACGAGUCCCAAGCAGC